CUCGCCGUUGUAUUCAUACGUGGAUUCGUAACCGUUGGUGACGCAUGGAUUGCCGCGAGAUCCCGUGAUGUUGAGGCUCUGAGCUCGUGCUGCUCUCAAGCCGUAGUUCAAGUAGCUGCAGAAAUCGGAUUCGAUCUCUUUUGGAAGACGUAGGCGUCUCCUUGCGGCGAUGAAGAUGGGGCGGUUGAAGCGGCGGAGUCAGAGAUAGCAUACGCCAUUUGCACCGAUCCUCCGCCGAGAUCCACCACACCUACGCAUCGGAAGAGUUGCCGGGCAAGAGGCGAAGACCGGCGGUUGCCUGCACAGACAGAGGAAGCAGUAAGUAAGGGGCGUUAGCAGCAGCUUUGUCGGAGAGAGCAUAAGCCAUCUGUACUGAGCCACCUCCAAGGUCAACCACUGCUGCCGUUUUAGAGUAUUUUUUGCCCAACUUACCAUCUAGAUAGUUUAUUGCAACCUGCAAUUUCACAUAGAUCAAACUUCGUGGUUUUUUCGAUAA